rnacentral:rRNA from 1 species
UACGACUACAUAUCAGGCAUAUCAAUAAGCGGAGGAAAAGAAACUAACUAGGAUUCCCUCAGUAACGGCGAGUGAAGCGGGAAGAGCUCAAAUUUGAAAUCUUAAAGGGUUUCCCUUUACGAAUUGUAGUUUAAAGAAGUGUUUUCUGUUGAGGUUUUGGUAAAAGUUCUUUGGAAUAGGACAUCAUAGAGGGUGAGAAUCCCGUAUUUGACCUUUACUUUCAACUUUGUGAUACACUUUCAAAGAGUCGGAUUGUUUGGGAAUGCAGUCCAAAAUGGGUGGUAAAUUUCAUCUAAAGCUAAAUAUUGGCGAGAGACCGAUAGCGAACAAGUACCGUGAGGGAAAGAUGAAAAGAACUUUGAAAAGAGAGUUAAACAGUACGUGAAAUUGUCAAAAGGGAAGCGUUUGACACCAGUGUUGUUUUUCUGAAAAUCAAUUAAAGAACUGUUUAUGCUAAGCUGUUUAGACUUUAUCAGCUAUCUGUUUAGUUUUAGGCUUUUCUUUAAUGCACUUUUCAGUUAACAAGUCAACAUCAAUUUCUUUUGCUGUAAAAAAGCUUGAGGAAGGUGGCUUGAGAUUCGUCUUAAGUGUUUAUAGCCUCUUGCCUAUGCAGUCGGAGAGAUUGAGGUCUGCAGCGUAGAUCCUUCGGGGCUAAAUGCAUUUGUGCUAAGUUAUAGCAUUUUAUAGACAACUUGUUGACUAUGAUUUGUCUUGUAGCUUACUCGCUUAUGUUAUUUUACCUACGCUUAGGAUGUUGAGUAGCGACAUACGCAC